AGUGAACGCUGGCGGCAGGCCUAACACAUGCCAGUCGAACGGCAGCACAAGAGAGCUUGCUCUCUGGGUGGCGAGUGGCGGACGGGUGAGGAAUGCAUCGGAAUCUGCCCAUUUGUGGGGGAUAACCUCGGGAAACCGGGACUAAUACCGCAUACGACCUACGGGUGAAAGCAGGGGAUCUUCGGACCUUGCGCAGAUGGAUGAGCCGAUGCCGGAUUAGCUAGUUGGAGGGGUAAGGGCCCACCAAGGCGACGAUCCGUAGCUGGUCUGAGAGGAUGAUCAGCCACACUGGGACUGAGACACGGCCCAGACUCCUACGGGAGGCAGCAGUGGGGAAUAUUGGACAAUGGGCGCAAGCCUGAUCCAGCCAUGCCGCGUGUGUGAAGAAGGCCUUCGGGUUGUAAAGCACUUUUGUUGGGAAAGAAAAGCAGCCGGUUAAUACCCGGUUGUCAUGACGGUACCCAAAGAAUAAGCACCGGCUAACUUCGUG
rnacentral:rRNA from 1 species